rnacentral:rRNA from 1 species
UGAUCCGGAGAUGUCUGAAUGGGGGAACCCACCUACUUUAAGGUAGGUAUUGCAACAUGAAUACAUAGUGUUGCAAGGCGAACGAGGGGAAGUGAAACAUCUCAGUACCCUUAGGAAAAGAAAUCAAUUGAGAUUCCCUCAGUAGCGGCGAGCGAACGGGGAUCAGCCCAUUAAGUUAUGUGUGUUUUAGUGGAACGCUCUGGGAAGUGCGAACGUAGAGGGUGAUAUUCCCGUACACGAAAGGGCACACAUAAUGAUGACGAGUAGGGCGAGGCACGUGAAACCUUGUCUGAAUAUGGGGGGACCAUCCUCCAAGGCUAAAUACUCCUGACUGACCGAUAGUGAACCAGUACCGUGAGGGAAAGGCGAAAAGAACCCCUGUGAGGGGAGUGAAAUAGAUCCUGAAACCGCAUGCAUACAAGCAGUGGGAGCACCUUCGUGGUGUGACUGCGUACCUUUUGUAUAAUGGGUCAGCGACUUAUAUUCAGUAGCGAGGUUAACCGUAUAGGGGAGCCGUAGAGAAAUCGAGUCUUAAUAGGGCGUUUAGUUGCUGGGUAUAGACCCGAAACCAGGCGAUCUAUCCAUGAGCAGGUUGAAGGUUGGGUAACACUAACUGGAGGACCGAACCCACUGUCGUUGAAAAGCCAGGGGAUGACUUGUGGAUAGGGGUGAAAGGCUAAUCAAGCCUGGUGAUAGCUGGUUCUCCCCGAAAGCUAUUUAGGUAGCGCCUCGGACGAAUACCAUAGGGGGUAGAGCACUGUUUCGGCUAGGGGGUCAUCCCGACUUACCAAACCGAUGCAAACUCCGAAUACCUAUGAGUACUAUCCGGGAGACAGACUGCGGGUGCUAACGUCCGUAGUCAAGAGGAAAACAAUCCAGACCGCCAGCUAAGGCCCCAAAAUCAUAGUUAAGUGGGAAACGAUGUGGGAAGGCAUAGACAGCUAGGAGGUUGGCUUAGAAGCAGCCACCCUUUAAAGAAAGCGUAAUAGCUCACUAGUCGAGUCGGCCUGCGCGGAAGAUGUAACGGGGCUAAAACUAUGUGCCGAAGCUGCGGAUGUAUACUUUGUAUACGUGGUAGGGGAGCGUUCUGUAAGCCGAUGAAGGUGUGUUGAGAAGCAUGCUGGAGGUAUCAGAAGUGCGAAUGCUGACGUGAGUAACGACAAAACGGGUGAAAAACCCGUUCGCCGAAAGACCAAGGGUUCCAGUCCAACGUUAAUCGGGGCUGGGUGAGUCGACCCCUAAGGCGAGGCCGAAAGGCGUAGUCGAUGGGAAAAUGGUUAAUAUUCCAUUACUUCUGUGUAAUGCGAUGAGAGGACGGAGAAGGCUAAAUCAGCCUGGCGUUGGUUGUCCAGGUGAAAGGAUGUAGGCAUGUAUCUUAGGCAAAUCCGGGGUACUCUAUGCUGAGAUCUGAUAGCAAGCUGUACUUGUACAGCGAAGUGGUUGAUGCCAUGCUUCCAGGAAAAGUCUCUAAGCUUCAGUUACACAGGAAUCGUACCCGAAACCGACACAGGUGGUCAGGUCGAGUAGACCAAGGCGCUUGAGAGAACUCUGCUGAAGGAACUAGGCAAAAUGGUACCGUAACUUCGGGAGAAGGUACGCUGUUGUUGGUGAUGGAACUCGCUUCCUGAGCUGACGACAGCCGCAGAAACCAGGCCGCUGCAACUGUUUAUUAAAAACAUAGCACUCUGCAAACACGAAAGUGGACGUAUAGGGUGUGAUGCCUGCCCGGUGCUGGAAGGUUAAUUGAUGGGGUUAGCGUAAGCGAAGCUCUUGAUCGAAGCCCCAGUAAACGGCGGCCGUAACUAUAACGGUCCUAAGGUAGCGAAAUUCCUUGUCGGGUAAGUUCCGACCUGCACGAAUGGCAUAAUGAUGGCGGCGCUGUCUCCAGCAGAGGCUCAGUGAAAUCGAAAUCGCUGUGAAGAUGCAGUGUACCCGCGGCUAGACGGAAAGACCCCGUGAACCUUUACUGCAGCUUGACACUGAACUUUGACCUUACUUGUGUAGGAUAGGUGGGAGGCUUUGAAGCUGGAACGCUAGUUCCAGUGGAGCCGUCCUUGAAAUACCACCCUGGUAAUGUUGAGGUUCUAACUCUGUCCCGUGAUCCGGGACGAGGACCGUGUCUGGUGGGUAGUUUGACUGGGGCGGUCUCCUCCUAAAGAGUAACGGAGGAGUACGAAGGUGCGCUCAGCGUGGUCGGAAAUCACGCGUAGAGUAUAAAGGCAAAAGCGCGCUUAACUGCGAGACCCACAAGUCGAGCAGGUACGAAAGUAGGUCUUAGUGAUCCGGUGGUUCUGUAUGGAAGGGCCAUCGCUCAACGGAUAAAAGGUACUCUGGGGAUAACAGGCUGAUACCGCCCAAGAGUUCAUAUCGACGGCGGUGUUUGGCACCUCGAUGUCGGCUCAUCUCAUCCUGGGGCUGAAGCAGGUCCCAAGGGUAUGGCUGUUCGCCAUUUAAAGAGGUACGCGAGCUGGGUUUAGAACGUCGUGAGACAGUUCGGUCCCUAUCUACCGUGGGCGCUGGAAAUUUGAGAGGAUCUGCUCCUAGUACGAGAGGACCAGAGUGGACGAACCUCUGGUGUACCGGUUGUGACGCCAGUCGCAUCGCCGGGUAGCUAUGUUCGGAAGGGAUAACCGCUGAAAGCAUCUAAGCGGGAAGCCUACCUCAAGAUAAGAUUUCCCUAGGACUUUAUGUCCUCUAAAGAGCCGUUCGAGACUAGGACGUUGAUAGGUUGGAUGUGGAAGCAUAGUGAUAUGUGAAGCUGACCAAUACUAAUUGCUCGUGAGGCUUGACUAU